rnacentral:rRNA from 1 species
GGGUGACAGCCCCGUACACAAAAAUGCACAUGCUGUGAGCUCGAUGAGUAGGGCGGGACACGUGGUAUCCUGUCUGAAUAUGGGGGGACCAUCCUCCAAGGCUAAAUACUCCUGACUGACCGAUAGUGAACCAGUACCGUGAGGGAAAGGCGAAAAGAACCCCGGCGAGGGGAGUGAAAAAGAACCUGAAACCGUGUACGUACAAGCAGUGGGAGCACGCUUAGGCGUGUGACUGCGUACCUUUUGUAUAAUGGGUCAGCGACUUAUAUUCUGUAGCAAGGUUAACCGAAUAGGGGAGCCGAAGGGAAACCGAGUCUUAACUGGGCGUUAAGUUGCAGGGUAUAGACCCGAAACCCGGUGAUCUAGCCAUGGGCAGGUUGAAGGUUGGGUAACACUAACUGGAGGACCGAACCGACUAAUGUUGAAAAAUUAGCGGAUGACUUGUGGCUGGGGGUGAAAGGCCAAUCAAACCGGGAGAUAGCUGGUUCUCCCCGAAAGCUAUUUAGGUAGCGCCUCGUGAAUUCAUCUCCGGGGGUAGAGCACUGUUUCGGCAAGGGGGUCAUCCCGACUUACCAACCCGAUGCAAACUGCGAAUACCGGAGAAUGUUAUCACGGGAGACACACGGCGGGUGCUAACGUCCGUCGUGAAGAGGGAAACAACCCAGACCGCCAGCUAAGGUCCCAAAGUCAUGGUUAAGUGGGAAACGAUGUGGGAAGGCCCAGACAGCCAGGAUGUUGGCUUAGAAGCAGCCAUCAUUUAAAGAAAGCGUAAUAGCUCACUGGUCGAGUCGGCCUGCGCGGAAGAUGUAACGGGGCUAAACCA